rnacentral:rRNA from 1 species
GAAUUUUAUAUAUAGUUUAUUUUUUAAUCAUUAAAUAAUAAUUUAGUUUAGAGUAGAAUAUAUAUUUAGUUGGGAGGAUUGUUAAAUUUUAUAAACUUUAAUUGAAGAUAAAAAAAUAAAUAUUGAUUAAUAAGAUUAAUGAAUGAUUGUGAAAGUUGAUAAAAAGAAUUAAUUACCUUAGGGAUAACAGCGUAAUAAUUUUGGAAAGGUCUUAUUGAUAAAAUUGAUUGC